UACGUAGGGUGCGAGCGUUAAUCGGAAUUACUGGGCGUAAAGCGUGCGCAGGCGGUUCGUUGUGUCGGUGGUGAAAUCCCCGGGCUUAACCUGGGAAUGGCCAUGGAAACUGGCGAACUGGAGUGUGGCAGAGGGGGGUGGAAUUCCGCGUGUAGCAGUGAAAUGCGUAGAGAUGCGGAGGAACACCGAUGGCGAAGGCAGCCCCCUGGGCCGACACUGACGCUCAGGCACGAAAGCGUGGGGAGCAAACAGG
rnacentral:rRNA from 1 species